rnacentral:piRNA from 1 species
AUGUUGGAUAUUAGUCCCCUAUCAG